GUCAAAGAGAAGGAAAGUGGUCAGUCUGGUCUUCAACUUGACUUUAGGAACACCUUGCAAAAUCACUUCUAUUUCCAAGACUGAUCAAAACCUUUUUGUAAUGUCUCUCUUGUCCCUCUGCAGCAGACAGAGAAUAUGGCUGUACAUCCAACUGGCCUCACAACGGCAGACCACGUGUAACCACACCAGCCCAGGGCCUCCACAUCCAGAUUCUGCACCUGCAGAAUCGUCUGAGAACAGCCACCCGGGAAAGCUGAUGAAACUGAGGAGUA